GGGGGGGGAGCAAAUGAAGGAAAGGCAACCACCACAAUAAAAGUUGUAAAAGGCCGCAAAGUUGCAGGGUGGCUACAAUGCCUGGGCUGAUACUGAUGCUAGCUGGUUGCUAGCAUCAAUGUUUGUCGCUCCCCUCUGUGAAGGCUCAGUGGAGUGCCUACUCCAAAUAACACCAAGAUCCAGGAGGUCAGCUUUUGACGGCCCGAAUGCCUUAAGGUGCAGAAUGCAGGAUGACACGUCAGAAGUGCCCCAUCAGACGGGCCAACUUCCCCCCUGGACAAUGGACUUGGCGCGCUCUCUCUUCCUUUCUCUACCAGGUUCUUCCACCAACGAACGGCACCCUGCUUCUUCCUCAGGUGACGCACUGACUCUGGGAAGAGAGCCAGCUGAGCUGGGGUAAUCUCUUCCAACUCAACCAGAACCACCUGUAAAGCAGUGCGCAAAUUAGAACCAGGGUGCGUUUUUGAGUUUGUGACCAGGAACUUAAAUUAAAUGAAAUGGAACUAAAGAAAUUCGUAAUAAAUCAAUCAAACCAUCACUAAAUCAUCCCAAUAGUUUUCUCUCUUUCAAACAGUUACAGUUAGAUGCAACAAACAGAGUGCUGUGAGCAUUCUGAGGAAAUUAACUCUGGAGCGAAUCCAUAAACCUCCAAGCAAUUUUAAAUGAAAAAUUUUGUCGAAACAUUGGGGCAGAACAACUCCACAUCAAGCUGAAGGACACAGCUGUAACAUAUUAUCUCUAUCUAAAGUUGUUGGUGAACCUUUGCACACAGAUAGUAUUAGAGAUGUCCUGAGCCGAUCCUAAGGACAAAUCCAUGCAUAUUUUGACGGAUCGAUAUCGGCUAAAAUAAAGUCUAUCAAACUCUGGUCUUUUCUUUACUCUACUGUUUGUCCAGCCUGCUAGUGUUACAGUGCUGCUCUUCUUAAUCACAGCUGCAAAGUGCUGCAUAUGCAAGUCAAGUUAAAGCAAGUGAAUGUAAAACAUUAUCAGACACUGAGAUUGGCAAAAUUCACAGAUUCACAGAGCUCAGGUGCUAAUAAAUCCGUUCUCCCCUCCUCCUUUCUAAUUUGCAAAGAGCAGUGUUUUGGUUUUUUAGUUCCCACAACUCCAACAAAAGUGAUCCAUCUUCUCUCUAGCUGAUCAUAUCAAUUUCAGGAGUGACAUUCUCCCAGUUAAUCUCUCAUUCAUAUCAAUGAAUAAAGCUUAUAAAUGUAGUAUUUUAGGACCUUUUUUGGAUCAUGUAGCUCAUGAAAAAUAAGGUGUGUCAGAUUUAGUAGGCUAUAGCAGUUAUUUCAAUGUGUCAGGUACAUAUUUAAUCAUUUAGGUAAAUCUAGCAUUUAGGUCUUGGUGUAGGUAGAUACCGAAUAUUAAAAAGACCCUGAUCAGGAUCAGGACAUCCCUAGUUCAUACUUAAAUGGCGAGCAGACACAGGGCAAAAUUGGCAUGAAUUAGACUGCAUUUCUGUCUCAGUCCAAUAUUUACUUGCCUUUUUAGCUGUGGUUUGAUUUCUACCAACGCCUGGAUCUUUACCUGCUCGAUUUUCCUCUUCCUUCAUCUAGCCGCUAACCUUGUCUGUCUGCUGUUUGGUGGUGGGUGUGUAGUUUACAGUGGUUCUAUCAGAGCUUGUUUGCUGAAAACAGCUACCUGCUGCUACUGGAAAUGGGAUUGAUGACAGCAGUGAGACUAAACCAUGCACUAAAUGCGCUGUAAAUUUUCUGUGGAUUCGUCACUGAGAGCCACCCCUUUCACAUUACUGACUGUUAAAGAUUGACCGUCGGAGCUUUAAUUGGGGACUUUGCUGGCAGCCCUGGGUAAAUAAAUUCAGUAAAUCAAGUUUGACUGGACUGUAUGCAGCCUAGGAUUAAGGUUAGGCUGGAGCUAGGUCUCAUUAAACCGGCGAGUAUUUGUACUCCACAACAGCUCUUCCGCUGUGCAAGUAUUUUGUCGUAGUAAUUAGUAGAGGUGGGAUUUGAAUCUGCUGUCAAGAAUAUGCAUUAACAAGUCUGUUUGCUCACCUUGAGUGAUCCCUCCAGCAGCACUCUGUGCAUUGCUGCAACGCACUCCAACUGCUGCCUUGUGUCUGUAUAGACUUCG